rnacentral:rRNA from 1 species
CGUAAUAAUAGAAACUAACCAGGAUUCCCUUAGUAACGGCGAGUGAACUGGGAUACCAACAAAAUACAUGUGCCUCGCGCGCAUGAUUUAGCCCGUCGAUACUAUCCUAGCAUAUUACCGGUCUCGGCCGGUAACCCAAUAUGCGGGAAUUGUAGCAUCGUAAUAAAAAUAAAAUAUAUACACGCACACACACCCACCGCGUACAUACUUGUAAACACACAGCGUCUCCGCGUUGGAAAGCAAGUUUAUAUCCUUUUUGGAUAUGCCAUAGAGUGUGACAGCCACGUUUCACUCAUAACCGUACGCACACACACACGCCCCGUGCACUAAUAUAUAUUUCUAUAACCUGAGUCGAGUUAUUU